rnacentral:lncRNA from 1 species
AUUAUUAUAAUUGAUUUUGUAUUUAACAAGUUGGUGGGUGCUGGUGUUGCAGAUCUUUGGGUGAUGGAGAAUCUGGGUCAAAGUUUUCGAGCCCGGUCACUGAAUCUAAUAGCCAGGAUGCAUCACUCAUUGCUUUCAGUUCCUACCCUCAAUGCUCCGUUGCUCAUGCGACACUACUUCUCUGCCCCUAGUUUCCUUGUCUCUAACUUUCCCAGCAACCAGGAAUUGGUGGAGCCGGUGACGCCAGACUAUGAUGAGGAGAGAGUCGAACAAUGUUGACGGGUCAUGGCGGUUGAACUUCGACGGUUUCCAGGUGUCCUCAGAGAGCACAAGGAGAAAAGACUUCCCCGUGGCCUCCAUGACUGCCUGGGGGUUUUAGGUAAUUUCGCAUCUUCACCUUCAUUGUUAAAGGAAUGGUAUAUUUGUUGUGAUGAUAUUUCUUUUUACUUUUUUAUGGUCUCAACUCAAAUGCCAAUAUUCUGUUGCGUGCUUUGGUAUCCCAGAAUUUUUCUUGUUUUGGUAGCUCACUUUUCUUUUUCUUUUUUUGUUAAUGAAUUAAACAAGUUGGACUCAUUUUUGUGGUGAGAUUUUAAUUUUUCUUUUUCUUACAUAUGAAUAUAAUUGCGAUUCCAAAGGGUGUGGAGGAUAUAAUUUGCCAUAUAAAAAAAUGUAAUCGGAAAGCUUAAAGUGGAGGUGAAUUGGAAACAUUUGUGGGAGAGUGCUGGAGAUGAGCGGUUUAUAGUUUAUGGGUUUUUUUUAAUGUGCUCUGUGUUAUGCAAAGUGUCUUUAGGAUUGUUGGGUUCCUUACUUGUGCUGCCCCUUGUAUUGAAUGAUCUUCAGGUUGUGUGUGAUGGAGAUUGAAACUAAUUUUUAUUCAAUGUUUUCCAGACCUGUAAUGGCAAGGUCAUGGUGCAUGCUCUACUGUAUCUCGUUCUUGGUGUAUAUUCUUCACAUGGUUUUAUUUGUUAAAAAUUAUAGUGUUGCUGAGUUCGUAUAUCUUGACAAUUAUUAGCUUGAUGACUAUCUUUAUUUUUCUUUCAAAAGAUUAAUGUGAAUUCUUUUCUUGUGUUAGCUUUCAUUUCAUAUUUUAGAGUUUUUAUCACUUUUCAAUCUUUUGUUUUUGUAAGAUUACAUUUUCCCUUUGUAUAAAGUAAUUAGUGUUUUUAACACGUAAAAAAUGUAGCCAUGUUGUUUAGUGCAGGAGAAGCUGCGUAAUAGUUGAAGCUGCCAUUAUGGUUUUUGCUGUAAAAAUUUCAAGGUUAAGGC